UACGGGGGGGGCGAAGCGUUGUUCGGUAAUUACUGGGCGUAAAGGGCUCGUAGGUGGCCAACUAAGUCAUACGUGAAAUCCCUCGGCUUAACCGGGGAACUGCGUCUGAUACUGGAUGGCUUGAGGUUGGGAGAGGGAUGCGGAAUUCCAGGUGUAGCGGUGAAAUGCGUAGAUAUCUGGAGGAACACCGGUGGCGAAGGCGGCAUCCUGGACCAAUUCUGACACUGAGGAGCGAAAGCCAGGGGAGCAAACGGG
rnacentral:rRNA from 1 species